CUGAGCGAGUGGAGUCUCAGCUGAACCCCUCGCCGCCGUCCACCCACGGCCGACCUCCUCGCCACCGCGGCCUCGGCCGCCACCCCUCGUCGUCGACCCACACCCUACGUCUGUGUGCCCUCCAUUUCUGCUACUUCUUCGUUCAGCUGCCUCUGGUUCGCUGGUAAAUUCAUGAAUAUUUUUUUUGCUUCGGAGACCUUCAUUUCGUGCCUAGAUGUACUUGCUGGAGCAGAAGUCCAGUCCUCUCGUUUCUUCUUGAAAUGACUCCAAAGUUUGCAGUUCAGACUCAAAACAGUUUUUGCAGUUCAAGUUCGUUUCCAUUCACCCAGUCCUGCAGUCCACCCAACCAGCCAGCUUGUACUCGGUUGUUUGCAAUUGGGUGUUGACAGUAUCUGAAAAGGUCCAAUUUGUGUGCUCCAUUCAUGUUGAAUCUUGUCACUGUGCACCUUUGACGAGUUGUCAGAACUCAACAUGAUGGUGUAGUACACAGCUGCAUUUAGCUUGUGCUGACUAUUGACACUUGACAGUGCAUUACUUGUUCCUGCAACCAUGGAAUGGUGUUUGGUAUAAGCUGUUUUCCCCCUCACAAUUAAUUUUUUGCAGCUCGCUAAUGUGGUGAGAACGUGCAGAUGAUCCUUGACAUUAUCGGUAUCAGAACAACAGCAAUCUGGGUGAACGGGGACAAUGAUCUAUUUUUUGAGGAAAUGCACAAUGAUCUAUAAGAAUGGCAAUGAGUUUCAGUAGUUGAUAUGGGAUGGAAAUGCUGAUUUUAACUUGAUAUCCUGGCGAUUAUGGUCUGUUAGCAAUCAGUAGUUGCAUUGUAAUAGUAAUAGGUCAUGCCUUCAUUCAUUUCUACGGUCACUUGUAUUAGAGGGAAAUGUUAGGACAUUGCUGAUGUAAUAUAUGUCAGUUGAUGUUGUGAUAAUGUUGAGACUUGAGAGCAUUCUCCAUUCUUAGGCAUAGAUCUUUUCAAAUACAAUGAGCAUUUAACUGUUUUAGAUCUUCAGUUUUGUACUAAUGGACUCCGGAGCAUAUGGUGUAAAUUAAACUUCAUUUUUUUUCUUGAACAAUGUUAAAAUAUGCCCUCUUUCUUUUCUGUUUUACCAUGUCUCGAACAACCUGAUUUUUAAUAUGUGUUGUAUAUACUUUUGUGGUGCAAUAGGUCCAUAAUUCGUACAAUCCAAUUGAUUAGUAUAGUCGAUAUGUGGAGAGCCACUUCUCAAUGUACUAAUCCCUAAAUUUAAACCUUUUUUUAGUAUCAGUUUUUAGUUAUUUGUUAUGAUAGUUUAAUUGUGGUAAAAUCCAGUAGCCCAAACUGAAGUACAAUUAGUCUGCAUUUGUCCAUUAGUUAAAAUUGAUUCCUUAUUUUACAGGGAAGUGUGGAAUGGGAGCACAAGAGCAAAGUUACUGGAAAGAUGCAUGGAUGUGGCCAUUAUGCAAAUUUUGCUAUGUUGUUAGGAUCUGCCAAGAUUCUUCAGGAGCAUCAUGAUGAGUUGAAGGGUACAGUAGUCCUGGUCUUCCAACCAGCCAAGGAAGGCGGCGGCAGGGCCUAUUAAAUGAUAGAAGCUGGAGCUGUGGAAAACAUACGUGCCAUUUUUGGGGUUCAGCUAACUCUGUUCCUAUAGAUGUUCUGGAUUCCUUGCCAGGGCCUAUUAUGGCCAGAGGUGGAGUCUUUGAGGCCAUAAUAAGUGGAAAAGAAGGGCAUGCUGCACUCCCUUAUCACACUUUAGAUUGAUUGGCUGCCUCUACUGUUAUUGUGAGCCUUCAGCAACUUGUUUCGGGGGAAGCUAUUCCCUUGGACUCACAGGCUAUAACAGUUGGGAAAUUCAAGGAAGUGGGGCCUUCAAUGUGAUUCCUGAUUCAGUACCUUACGAACCUUUUUGAAAGAGAGUAUUAAUCAAUUGAAGCAGCAAAUUGAAGAGAAUAUGCCAGAGAUCAAACUCCGUAUCCCUAGCACAAAAGAUGGAUGAUGGAUUGCUUCAUUGACAUUGCGGAUUCUCCGUGUCUUCUCUUGUUUCUUGCCAUCAAGAGAGUCCACAUGCCACAAAGAAUGUUAGUUCCUUGGUCUGAAUCUAUGUGGCACUCGUGUAAAAUUUGGCGUGCAGGUAAAAAUCCAUGAUUGACUCAGCCACCAGAAGACCUUUACCUUUGGAGGUCAUCCUCUUCAUGCUAUUGGUGUUCAGAGUCCAGUAACCGGUGUGCUGAUUGCACGAGUAGUUGCAAUGGCUUUCCAUCGACUACGCCCAAAAAUCAUUCUCUGCACUCCCCAAAGAACACACGAUUGCAUCAGCAUCCAUAUGUGAAAAUACAUCACGGAUUACUCUUCAUUCCGCUGGCCGCUGGCAGUAAUAAUAUCAGAAAGCAAGCGAACUGGUUGAUCAUCGGGUAAGGUGAUAUGUCUACCAGCGUUUUGAACCGGUAUGUUGAGUGAGAAUGAUUCUCCACAGGCUCUGAGAGAGAACACAGUACUCUUGAAAACGGCAGCUUCAACUUGCUUUUUAGUUGGUGGCCAUGGACAUGAGAUGCUUAGAAUAACUUCAAAAGUUUUAGGAUGUCGGCCAUCUUAACAGCCGUAAGCCAUUCAA